rnacentral:rRNA from 1 species
AUUGAACGCUGGCGGCAGGCCUAAACACAUCCAAGUCGACCGGAUGAAGGUACUUUCCUCCUGUUUUCAGCGGCGGACGGUUUAUUAUUCCCUAGGAUUCUGCCUGGUUGUGGGGGUUACCUCCCGGAAACGGCCGCUAAUACCCCAUACGUCCUGUGGUAGAACGUGGGGGUUCUUCGGACCUCCCCCUUUCUGUUUAGCCUAGGUCGGAUGAGUUAGUUGGUGGGGUAAAGGCUUCCCAAGGCGAGGAUCCGUAACUGGUGUGAGAGGAUGAUCAGUCACACUGGAAGUGAGACACGGUCCAGACGCCUACGGGAGGCAGCAGUGGGGAAUAUUGGACAAUGGGCGAAAGCCUGAUCCAGCCAUGCCGCGUGUGUGAAGAAGGUCUUCGGAUUGUAAAGCACUUUAAGUUGGGAGGAAGGGCAGUAAGUUAAUACCUUGCUGUUUUGACGUUACCAACAGAAUAAGCACCGGCUAACUUCGUG